rnacentral:rRNA from 1 species
CCUACGGGCGGCAGCAGUGAGGAAUAUUGGUCACUGGGCGUAAGCCUGAACCAGCCAAGUCGCGUGAGGGAAGACGGUCCUAUGGAUUGUAAACCUCUUUUAUCGGGGCGUAAAAUACGCCACGCGUGGCGUUCCGUAAGUACCCUCAGAAAAAGCAUCGGCUAACUCCGUGCCAGCAGCCGCGGUCAUACGGAGGAUCCGAGCGUUAUCCGGAUUUAUUGGGUUUAAAGGGUGCUCAGGCGGACGAUCAAGUCACGGGUAAAAUUGCGGGCAUCAACCUCGUAGGGCCGUUGAAACUGGUUGUCUUGAGUGAGUGAGAGGUAUGCGGAAUGCGUGGUGUAGCGGUGAAAUGCAUAGAUAUCACGCAGAACCCCGAUUGCGAAGGCAGCAUACCGGGGCACAACUGACGCUCAUGCACGAAAGUGUGGGGAUCGAACAGGAUUAGAUACCCCGGUAGUC